GUAGAUACAUAUGAGAAAACGUUAUCUAUUUACAAGGGCAAUUUUUUGAUUUAAUUAGAUAACGUAUUUUUUUAAAAACGUUGUCUAUAAAGAAAAAACACGGAGCAAAAAUUCACGGUUAAAUGAAAACUUAAAAUUAAAACACCGAGCGCGGAGCAUGGUUAUGUCUUUCUAUGCUCUUUUUCGCUUACAAAACCAAAACCCUAGUUAUGGAUUUCUCCCCAUCUCAAGUCGUCGACGUCUACAUACGUCCAGGUAACCGGCGACUAAGCAAGGAAAUCUUCAUGGAUUCAACACUACUCACUACUGGUAGACUGGUAGGUCAUGUGAAGAGAGGGUUUAACUCUAAAAUCUCCAUGGAUUCAACAUCUCCAGCUUCGCAGCCGAAGAAGAGAGGGAGGCCGAAGGGUUCGAAAACCAAGGAGGAUAGAGAAAGCGGCACAAAAGGAGUAGCAGUUAGAAUAUGAGAGGCGGCGGCGCUGGUGAUAAAAAGGUUGCCGGUAUCAAUUUCUGCCGGUACCAAUCUCCAUGGCCUUCUCUCUCUUGCCGGUACCAAUUUCUGUCCCUAUAUCUCUAUAUAUGUGUAUUUGUGUUUGUUCUGAUACUCUAUCUAGGGUUUAAAAUUGUGCUAUUUGCUUGAACGUGGUUUAAUGGACUGUAGUUAGCCUUUAAAAUUAAUUUAGAAUUUUAAAUUUUAAUCUUGAUUUUUUAGAAUUAACGGACAUCCGUAAUAUUAACAUCCGUGAUGUAGGCUAUUUUAGAAUUUGGCAAUAUGAUACCAAUUUUUCUGUAGGCUAUUUUCAGCUAAAGUGAGAAAUUUAGUAUGAUGCAACAGUUGUGAAUUAAGUCACUUUAUAUUUUUUUUCCCCUCUUGGCUAUAGCGAAUUUAGUUUUGUGCUUAUAUAAUUAUUCUUUUAGCCUGGGAUUCUCCAUAUGCCUGGUUGCAUGGAAAAACAUCAAUUACUGAUCCAACAGUCUAGAGAGCAAUAAAUUAAUUUCUGUAGUGAUGAAAGCAUUCCUCUAAGAGCUUGCUUCAAAUUUGUUUCUUAUUUUGAUUUUCUGCUUGGUUUAAUUAAAUUGAUGCUUCCAACAGCAAUGCAUGUUUACAAUAUCAAAGGCUUGGCUUUGUCCAGCGUAGUCUGCAAGAUUAGAGAAUACAUUUGGGAACAAAUUUUAGGCUCAACUGUAUGAAAUUGAGGCUCAUGUCCUGCUGUGUGUAGACGCAAAAGCAUUUUCCUACUUUAGUUGCAGAUCUCAAGAAAAAUAAUUUAGACUUAUCAGUACUCUUCGCUCCUUUAGUUUGCUUGGCUUUUGGAUUUUAUCGAAGCAAACUAUAAAUUUGAGCUUUGUUUUACAGAAUGCAAAAAAGAUUGAACACAGGAAAACACACCAAACUGACAGUAUGAUGCAUUAACCAGGUCAAGUCUAAAUUUCCGUACCGUAUGUCAAAAUUAGAACUUGGAACCUUUGGAAUUUAAAGGCACACGACAAUUAGAAAACAAAAUUAAAUUUGGAUAAUUUUUUAUUUGCAUGGACUACUAGCAAAACCGUCAAGAAUAACAGAGGAUACAGAUUGUUUGCAGAGUCGUAAGUGCUACAUUUGUUGCAUCAUACUAAAUUUUAGAAUUUUAAAUUUUAAUCUUGAUUUUAAAAUUAAUGGACUGUAGUUAGCCUUUAAAAUUAACAUCCGUAAUAUGUCUGUUAUUGCCCAUGUUGAUCAUGNN
rnacentral:lncRNA from 1 species